rnacentral:rRNA from 1 species
UGCUUAGCCCUUAAUAUAGACAGCGCAAAUACAAGCUGUCCGCCAGAGAACUACAAGUGAAAAACUAGAAACUCUAAGGACUUGGCGGUGCUCCAUACCGACCUAGAGGAGCCUGUCCUAUAAUCGAUAAUCCACGCUAGACCUUACCAUUUUUUGUAACUCAGCCUAUAUACCGCCGUCGUCAGCUUACCUUAUGAAAGAAGCAAAGUAAGCAAAAUAGUCAAUAACUAGAACGUCAGGUCAAGGUGUAGCACAUAAAAUGGAAGAGAUGGGCUACAUUUUCUACCACAGAAAACACGAAAGGCACAGUGAAACCUGCACCCGAAGGCGGAUUUAGCAGUAAGAUAAACAAUAAACUUUAUCUUAAACCCGCUCUGGAGCGCGCACACACCGCCCGUCAC